GACGAACGCUGGCGGCGUGCCUAAUACAUGCAAGUAGAACGCACAGUUUAUACCUUAGCUUGCUACACCAUAGACUGUGAGUUGCGAACGGGUGAGUAACGCGUAGGUAACCUGCCGGGUAGCGGGGGAUAACUAUUGGAAACGAUAGCUAAUACCUCAUACUAUUUAUUAUUGCAUGAUAAUUGAUUGAAGGAUGCUAUUGCAUCACUACCAGAUGGACCUGCGUUGUAUUAGCUAGUAGGUGAGGUAACGGCUCACCUAGGCGACGAUACAUAGCCGAACUGCGAGGGUGAUCGGCCAAACUGGGACGGAGACACGGCCCAGACUCCUACGGGAGGCAGCCGUAGGGAAUCUUGGGCAAUGGACGAAAGUCUGACCGAGCAACGCCGAGUGAGUGAAGAAGGUUGUCGGAUCGUAAAGCUCUGUUGUAAGAGAAGAACGGGUGUGAGAGUGGAAAGUUCACACUGUGACGGUAACUUACCAGAAAGGGACGGCUAACUACGUG
rnacentral:rRNA from 1 species